rnacentral:sRNA from 1 species
UCGAUUGAAAACAAAACGUUAUGACAAAAGAGAUGAUUUCAACUUCAACAUUUGGAACUCUUGGUUUAAUAGCUUCCUUAUGAGCAGCAACCCUCUAUCAAGAAAGUCAUGAUAGGAAAUGCAAGCACGGAAAUAUCGUAUCAAUUGGAAGAUAUAUACCCCAUAUGCAGGUGCUGCUGGAAUGUUGCUACUUAGAAAUGGAAAGUUCACAAUUGGAAAGCUGAAAUCAUCUCUUUUGUCAUAAAGUUUUGUUUUCAAUUGA